AAAAACGUGAUCUUUCUCCAUCCCUUUCUUACAACUUACCCUCCUCACGUGAAACGAUGUAACUUCUCCGACUGUAAAUUACCCGAUAUCUCCUCCCAGAGCAACCCGGAAAAUAAAAAAAUAGAGAAAAAAAAUCAAAAUACAGCAAAACUAACACAACGGAUAACUACUCUAGAGUACAGGCUUAUUGGACGUUAGGACAAGUAGCCAUGUCGUCGUCGUUUGGCUGCGGAGAUAUGACGAACUGGGUGAAGGGCUGUCCGCCAUGGCUGUUGCGAAGAAGAUGAAGAGGAGGCAGUGGGGUGGCGGCUAGGUGUAGGUUUUGAGAGGAUUAGGCAUUAGGGUUUUGUUUAUGUAUAGUAUAAUGAAAUGAAAUAAAAAAA
rnacentral:lncRNA from 1 species